GAGGGUAUAGCUCAGGGGUAGAGCACAUGCUUAGCACACAUGAGGUCCUUGGUUCAACCCUCAGUCCCUCCA
rnacentral:tRNA from 1 species